AGUCCAUAUUGUGGGCAACAUCUAAGUAGGUCCUUGUAUCUCUCUCAAGUGUCGUAUAUUGACUCAUCAUCAAAUUGCACAAAAGAAGAUAUGUCAUUCCUAAGUUU
rfam:Ricinus communis cultivar Hale ctg_1100012362925, whole genome shotgun sequence.